UACGUAGGGUGCAAGCGUUGUCCGGAAUCAUUGGGCGUAAAGCGCGUGUAGGCGGUCCGGUAAGUCCGCUGUGAAAGUCGAGGGCUCAACCCUCGAAUGCCGGUGGAUACUGUCGGGCUAGAGUGCGGAAGAGGCGAGUGGAAUUCCUGGUGUAGCGGUGAAAUGCGCAGAUAUCAGGAGGAACACCGAUUGCGAAGGCAGCUCGCUGGGACGUAACUGACGCUGAGACGCGAAAGCGUGGGGAGCAAACAGG
rnacentral:rRNA from 1 species